rnacentral:tRNA from 1 species
UGUCGUGUGGCACUUGAGUAGAGCAUUGGUUUUGCAUGCUAAAGGUACAGAGUUCGAUUCUCUGUACUAUAU